UCAAGUGCGUCGCCACCCCCGCCAUGCUGCUGCGCGCCGCCGGGCGCGGCGUCGGCGGUCUCCGGCCAGAUCCGGCCGAGGAGGCGAGUCAGGAGUCGGAUCCUGAUCCGUGGACGACGUGAAGACGAUCUAGGAGGCGCGGGAGGAGGUCCAGCGGCGGGGCUUGAACUCCAAGUUCAUGGCGGCGGCGUUCCUCGCAUGUUCCGAGCAAGAUGGCGAGCUCCGACGGAGUCUGCGUCUUCUCUUCACGGCUGUGUCGACCACAUCGACGAUAGGUCGACCUGUCUACGUGUCCUCUUGUGCAGGGAGGUCAUCGCCCGUCUCCAUACUUCGAGGAUGCCGUCGCCCAUCUUCCUAUCGAACUGGAACUACCAAGAUUCUGUAUCUUUCUGUAUGAUUAAGAAUGGAUGGACACAUGAGUAGCGAUGCAUGGGAUACUAUCAGGUGGACAACAUGACCAUCCUUGGUGACAGUGGCGAAGAGAAGAAGUGGCAGCACCGACCGGACGGGCAUGCAAGGAAUUAUUUCUUCCAUUGCAACGCACGGGUAUGUCGGAUGUCUUGAUAUGUCUUGAUGCUGAAUGAAACAUGUUUUGUUUAAAUAAAAGUUGUUGUAACCUUCACUUUUUUUGAAUAGUUGUGUAUGAUGCCUUCUCUAUUGGGCAUACCACUUGAUAGGAAAUUGCAUGCAUAACUUUAAAGUCUUUUACUGAAGUUGAGAGGAGCAAGUUUGAGAUUAUCAGCACUUCAAGGCUCUCUUAGUGAGCUCGAUUAGAUGGGAUAAUGGCUUCGAUCAGAACCAUUGAGU